rnacentral:lncRNA from 1 species
GGCCAAGUCAGCCCAUGACCAGAGCCCACGUGUGGCAGAUCUAUUCAUGGCUGCAUUGGCUGCUGCCUGCAGCGUUCCUUUGGAGAGGAACAGCUGUCGGGAAGCCAAGCAGCAGGUCGCUCAGCAGGUAGCUGAAAAGCUUGUGAAGGAAGAGAGCCGACAGCUUGGGAGGCUGCUGGGGAGGCUGGAGCAGCCGUGCUGCUCCUUGAACGUGCUGAAGGUAAAGGCCCUGUCCAUUUGUCUGGCUGUGCCCAGAGGUGCCUGGACCUUUGGACCGGGGUUAGGAGCAUGGGGAUGGGGGAACUGCGGGCUCAGCCCUCAAUGACUUCUAUCUCCCUGGUGUCAGUUGUUGAGUAAAUGCGCCCAUGGUAGCCAUGAGGUGUGACUGGGAUGCGCCUGGUCACUGCGUCCCUGCCCCAGGGCUUGAUAUGCAUCUCGCCCCUCUGCCUUGCAGAUCCUCUAUGCUGGCUGCCAUGUCAGCCUGAGCCUGUGCCAGCACCUGGGAAGAAGCCAACGACUGUGGGGUUCCCUCAUGCAGCUCUCAAAGGGCGAGGUAGGACUAACCACAGCACCAGUGGUAGGGUAGGAGUGUGGGCAAGCAGUACACAUUCC